UACGGGGGGGGCAAGCGUUGUUCGGAAUUACUGGGCGUAAAGGGCUCGUAGGCGGCCAACUAAGUCAGACGUGAAAUCCCUCGGCUUAACCGGGGAACUGCGUCUGAUACUGGAUGGCUCGAGUUUGGGAGAGGGAUGCGGAAUUCCAGGUGUAGCGGUGAAAUGCGUAGAUAUCUGGAGGAACACCGGUGGCGAAGGCGGCAUCCUGGACCAACACUGACACUGAGGAGCGAAAGCGAGGGGAGCAAACGGG
rnacentral:rRNA from 1 species